rnacentral:misc_RNA from 1 species
AGAGAGAGAGAGAGAGAGACUUGGAUAGAUCCAACUAGAAGCAGACAAUCCCUUUUUCACAUGGACUUUUCUCUAGCUAAGCUCUUCUUAAAAUCAUUGAACACACCAUGCUAUGCUAUAAUCAUGAACAUUUUUACAGGAAAAAAUAUAAAAGUUGAUUGGAAAGUUCAGAUAAGAUUCUAACGGUACACUAAUCUGAUGACAAGACAAUCCCACAACUAAGUUUUAUUUUAAUUGUAAUUAAAAUUUGUUUUUGUAUUAUUUGAUAUUGUUGUUAUGGAUAUUAUUGGACAAAAAUUUUCUCAAAUAUAUGAAUUGUAAAUUAAAAAAAAAAUCUUUUUUCUUACCCUUCAAUCAUCUCGUCACCAAACGGCACAUUAAAGAGUCACCAGGAAACUACCUUGAGUUUUUAAUUUUGAAAAA